AGUUCAAUUAAAGCAAACAAAAGAAACUUCAAAAAUUUGAUCAUCAAAGAGUUUGUAAGCUUAAACGUAGCAAUGAUUGAAAAGAAGUGUUUGGACGUCGAUGUAUAAAGGAGUACAAGGAAGACUACAGUCUCUUUGAUUGCGAGCUGCGUAGAGCUGGAAAAUUUUACGACAGAGUCUUCAUUGUUUCAUUUCAAUAUUAACUUGGGUUCUCGAUAAGCACAGGCCAUCACCUUCGUACAAUCAUUUUCGAAACGAAUUGGAGGAUCGUCCAGUCUUCUUUGCUUGCUUUUCGACCUUUGUGACUUUGUGACGGAACGAGCACCUGCAGUUUGAAAGACAAGUCUAACCGCGUGGCCGAAUGGAAGCCGUGUCUUCGAUUUCCAAAGGCCCGUUUACACUUGCAAUUUUUGCAGCGCGAUUGUCGCGCGACAAUCACCACUUUGCUCUCGCGCACCUCAAAUCGUACGUGUAAACAGCCCUGCGAUUAGAGAGGUUUAGCAUGAUGUUC